GAUGAACGCUGGCGGCGUGCUUAACACAUGCAAGUCGAACGGAAAGGCCGAAGCUUGCUUCGGUACUCGAGUGGCGAACGGGUGAGUAACACGUGGGUGAUCUGCCCUGUACUUCGGGAUAAGCUUGGGAAACUGGGUCUAAUACCGGAUAUGACAAUCUCUUGGAUGGGGUUGUGGAAAGCUUUUGCGGUAUGGGAUGAGCUCGCGGCCUAUCAGCUUGUUGGUGGGGUAAUGGCCUACCAAGGCGUCGACGGGUAGCCGGCCUGAGAGGGUGUACGGCCACAUUGGGACUGAGAUACGGCCCAGACUCCUACGGGAGGCAGCAGUGGGGAAUAUUGCACAAUGGGCGCAAGCCUGAUGCAGCGACGCCGCGGGGGGGAUGACGGACUUCGGGUUGUAAACUCCUUUCGCAACCGACGAAGCUUUUUGUGACGGUAGGUUGAGAAGAAGCACCGGCUAACUACGUG
rnacentral:rRNA from 1 species